rnacentral:rRNA from 1 species
UACGAAGGGGGCUAGCGUUGCUCGGAAUCACUGGGCGUAAAGGGUGCGUAGGCGGGUUUUUAGGUCAGAGGUGAAAUCCUGGAGCUCAACUCCAGAACUGCCUUUGAUACUGAAAAUCUUGAGUAUGGGAGAGGUGAGUGGAACUGCGAGUGUAGAGGUGAAAUUCGUAGAUAUUCGCAAGAACACCAGUGGCGAAGGCGGCUCACUGGCCCGAUACUGACGCUGAGGCACGAAAGCGUGGGGAGCAAACAGG